UACGUAGGGUCCGAGCGUUGUCCGGAAUUACUGGGCGUAAAGAGCUCGUAGGUGGUUUGUCGCGUUGUUCGUGAAAACUCACAGCUCAACUGUGGGCGUGCGGGCGAUACGGGCAGACUGGAGUACUGCAGGGGAGACUGGAAUUCCUGGUGUAGCGGUGGAAUGCGCAGAUAUCAGGAGGAACACCGGUGGCGAAGGCGGGUCUCUGGACAUUUCCUGACGCUGAGGCACGAAAGCCAGGGGAGCAAACGGG
rnacentral:rRNA from 1 species